UACGAAGGGGGCUAGCGUUGCUCGGAAUGACUGGGCGUAAAGGGCGCGUAGGCGGAUGGCACAGUCAGAUGUGAAAUUCCCGGGCUUAACCUGGGGGCUGCAUUUGAUACGUGUUGUCUUGAGUUCGGAAGAGGGUCGUGGAAUUCCCAGUGUAGAGGUGAAAUUCGUAGAUAUUGGGAAGAACACCGGUGGCGAAGGCGGCGACCUGGUCCGACACUGACGCUGAGGCGCGACAGCGUGGGGAGCAAACAGG
rnacentral:rRNA from 1 species